rnacentral:rRNA from 1 species
AUAAACGCUGGCGGCGUGCUUCACACAUGCAAGUCGAACGAAGUUUUUCUUUCGGGAGGAACUUAGUGGCGGACGGGUGAGUAGCGCGUGGGUAACCUGCCCUGUACAGGGGGACAACAGCUGGAAACGGCUGCUAAUACCGCAUAAGCCCUUAGCACUGCAUGGUGCAUAGGGAAAAGGAGCAAUCCGGUACAGGAUGGACCCGCGUCUGAUUAGCCAGUUGGCAGGGUAACGGCCUACCAAAGCGACGAUCAGUAGCCGAUCUGAGAGGAUGUACGGCCACAUUGGGACUGAGACACGGCCCAGACUCCUACGGGAGGCAGCAGUGGGGAAUAUUGCACAAUGGAGGAAACUCUGAUGCAGCGACGCCGCGUGAGUGAAGAAGUAUUUCGGUAUGUAAAGCUCUAUCAGCAGGAAAGAAAAUGACGGUACCUGACUAAGAAGCACCGGCUAAAUACGUG